rnacentral:rRNA from 1 species
UGGGGAAUUUUCCGCAAUGGGCGAAAGCCUGACGGAGCAAUGCCGCGUGGAGGUGGAAGGCCUACGGGUCAUCAACUUCUUUUCUCGGAGAAGAAACAAUGACGAUAUCUGAGGAAUAAGCAUCGGCUAACUCUGUGCCAG